rnacentral:rRNA from 1 species
GAGGGCAAGUCUGGUGCCAGCAGCCGCGGUAAUUCCAGCUCCAAUAGCGUAUAUUAAAGUUGCUGCAGUUAAAAAGCUCGUAGUUGAAUUUCGGGACCAAUAUGUCGGUCGUGCUUUUGUACGUACUGAUAUAAUUGGUUUCUCCCUUCUGAAGAACCUUGAUGUCAUUAAUUUGGUGUCUUGGGGAAUCAGGACUGUUACUUUGAAAAAAUUAGAGUGUUUAAAGCAGGCUCGCGCUUGAAUACAUUAGCAUGGAAUAAUGAAAUAGGACGUUUGAUUCUAUUUUGUUGGUUUCUAGGAUCGACGUAAUGAUUAAUAGGGAUAGUUGGGGGCAUUAGUAUUCAAUUGUCAGAGGUGAAAUUCUUGGAUUUAUUGAAGACUAACUACUGCGAAAGCAUUUGCCAAGGAUGUUUUCAUUAAUCAAGAACGAAAGUUAGGGGAUCGAAGACGAUCAGAUACCGUCGUAGUCUUAACCAUAAACUA